AACCACCCCUAUUAGCUGUACAUAUCAUCCUGUCACUAAUGACAAUUAUUAAAUAAUUAGCGCUUAAUUAUUUAAUAACUAUGUUCCUGUAAAUCAACUGUCGUGUUUUCUGAUGAUAAUAAUAAUAAUAAUAACUAAUAGAUUUAUUCAUAUAGUAUUUUAUUUUUAUAUAGAAAUAUUAUUAUAUAAUAUUUUAUUUAUAAAUUUGUAAUUAUUUAUUAAUAUUUUUAAAUAUAUAACUCUUAUAUAUUAUUAAUAUAAGUUUAUUAUAAUUUUAAAUAUAUUUAAUCUAUUAUUAAAUAUUAUAAUAAUAAUAUAUAUAGUAUAAUACCGAAUUUUUAAAAAUUAUAUAUAAAAAUUAUAUUUGAUCCCGAAUUUUUAAUUGGUGAACGUAUAAUACCCGUAUAAAUCACGUAUCCGAAUAACUGCCGAAUCCGUUUUUUAGCCGUAUUUUUCAAUGAAUUUAAAAAUUAAAAGACGAAUUUUAUCCGAAUUAUAUCCGUACCGAAUUUUUGCCGAAUCCGAAUUAACUAACUAUGCCUCCAGCUACCAAGGUUGGUUUAACUGCGAUCGAUCUCGACGUGCUUAAUUAAUUAAUUUAUAUUUGAAGGGCAAAUAAGAAAAAUAUUUGCUAUAUAAAGGGUAUAUAAGAAAAGUUAGUUACGGUAGAAGGGUAUAUUGGAAUGGGCAAAAUGGUAAUUUUACCGAGAUAACGGUAGCUCCCUAACGGAGCUUAACUCCAGGGGUAUAUUAGAAAGACUUGGAAUAUAAGAAGGGUAUUUUCAAUAUUAGCCUUCUAAGAGGGGUAUAUAAGAAAACCGGAAACUUUUCAGGGGUAUAUAGGCAAUUGCCCCUUUAUAUUAUGUAAUCUAAAAUAUCCAAGAUGCCCUUGAAGUCUCCUCUGCCUCCGCCUUGACGGUACCGCGCCCUCCGCAGCUGGUGAAGAAGGUGAUGACGUGUAAGGACUGAGACUUUUGCAGUGUAGCUAAACUCUCAGUUGACGAUGCUUUUAUGUGUAAUUUAAUUACAAAAGCACUCGUCAAGUUUCGGGCGAAAAUGAGUUAAAACGGAGAUUCUACGCGAUUUCCAAGUUUCACUUAAAGUGAAUAGUAACUCGAUUUUCCGGAGAAGCCACGGUAUGAAGUUGGCUUCAGGCUCGUAUCGGACUCCGUUCCUAGCGGUCCAAUAGCUCGUUUCGAUCGGUUCAGCUGUUCUGGAACCAAUGGCGCUGACGGAUUUUGAGUUUGACGCACGAAUUUCGAGAAAAUCCAAAAAUACAUGUUUUAUAUGUAUUUAUGUGUGUGUUUCCUUCUAUUGGAAGAAGGUUGGAUUUUGUCGUGAAUCCGUGGUCGAUCGAGAUGAAACGAAAUCGCAGCUUUGUUGUCUCCGUCGUACUGAUCGCACUGGUGCGAACCGUUCGCGAAUCUGACGGACGGAUCUGCGGAGAUCGCGCGUUGAUCGAGGAGAGGUCGGUAGUGGCAAAACGGUAUUUUCGCGAAAGUCGCGAUAUUUUAUGUAUCGUUUCGCGAGGGAUCGCACGUGGAGGGGCGUUCAUGCGUUUUAGUCGUACUGUGAGGGUCUCGGAUUGAAAUUCUGAUGUUUGAGGGGCUUUCUUGCGAGUUGUACCUUGUUUAUAUAGUGGUUCCUAGGGUUUUGAUCCCCUAACCCUAACCCUAGCCAGCCCCCAGCUACCCUAGUCGCCCCAGCCACCUUCACCCUUCCCCCUGCCCUUGCUGCACCAGCCCCGGCCGCCGCCGGCUGAGCCCCGGCCGCCGCCGAGCCACCACUUCUCUUCCUUCCCUCUCUUUCUCUCUCCCUCUCUCCUCUCGGGUUGUGUGAAGGCCCGGGGCUGCGUCUCCUGCAGACCCUCCCCCUGGACUUCACCGUGCUCCGGCAAAUCAUCCCCGCCGACCGCCGCCGUCGCCUGCGCCGCCGCAGCCGCUCCAGCCGCCUGCAGCAGCCCAGGCCGAGCCUGGCCGAGCCGGGUUGCCGCAGCCACCAGCGCGCCGCCGCCGCCUGGAAACUCUCCCGCCGACGUCCACGGAGCCCCGGCACCCCUUCCCGCCGGUCGCCGCCGCCCCAGCGCGCCGCCGCCGCCGCCUCGGCCGGCUGCAGCCGCCCAACCCGAGCCCGAGCCGAAGCUGUGUGCGGCCCCUUUCCUCGCGCCGCCGCCGCCCUGAGCCACCUGUGCCGCCCUCCCCCGACCUCCUGCAGCCCGCCUCCGCCGUCCCGGAGCUCCCCGGCCGCCGCCGUGGCCGCAGCAACUCCUGGAACCCGAGCCCGAUCUCGUGCGGGCUCGGUUUGCUCCGCCGCCGCCGCCGCCGCUUCCAGCCGCCAACUGAGGUGAGCACGGUGUUCCUCACCUCCCCCUCACCCGACUCAGGGCCCCGCGCGCGCCGCCGUGCCGCCGGAGGCCGGCCGGAGCAAGGUUGCUCCGGCCAAGCCCGAAAUAGGGCUUAUUUGAGUGGGUUUCUUGUUCUGGGCUUCCCGAGCUUCCCCGAUCUCUACGGAAGGGAGCACGAUGAUCCUGGCAAGUUGCUGAUCAUCGUGCUCACCUUGGUUUCUGUCGGGAAGGCCCCGUUCCGCUGUUUUGGCGAUGUCGCUCCGUUUCAGCCUUUUUGGCUGCUGUUUCGGGUUUGUGCUUGUUUUUCCGGCGAUCCGAGGCUGUUCCGAUGCCUCCGGAGGUGAGCACGGUGACCGCUGGUCAGUGCUGAUCACAAUGCUCACCUUCCCUUGGAUCAGAAGUGUCCGGUUAGUUCUGUUCGGCGCGAUCUUCCCUGACUGCGCGCUAUUCGCUGAACCUUCGGGUUGCUCCCGCGCUUCCCACAGCGAGCCGCUGUGCUCCGGAUCGUGAGCACGGACUCCGGUACGUCGAGACCUGUCAGUACGUGUCUCUGCGGACUUCGAAAGUCCUCGGUUUGCGUGAACGAGCCGCUUGAUCGCUCAAAUUACAUAAAAUGAUGAGAUUUUAUGUAAUUAGAGGGUCUUUUAUGCAUUUGUGCUUUGCGUGGCUACUGUGGGCAGUGUGUGGGAGUUUGUAAUGACCGCUGGACUGAUUGUCCAUGGUCCGUUAGCUUUCGCGGAAAUCGGUAGGUCGAUUUCGGUGCGUUUUUCGGCGAAAUUCGCCGAAAGAACGCGGUUUCGGUUCGGAUCCUUUCCGACGGUGUUUGGUUGCUUCGUGUUUUGUCGCUGAGCCUUGUUGGCUGGUCACCAUCGUCAUUUUGUGGGUUCGAUGAUGAUAGGUGAGCGACGGAGGGUUCCGGUGUCGAAAUAGACACUUCCGGGAACCCGGAUUCGUACGAUUAUCCGGCGAUGAUCGUAUUGCUGUGUGACCUUGCGUUCGCUGCCAAGGCAUCCAAAUUGGAAUGUUUUGGGGCAGCGGGUGACUCGUGGUAUGAGUCGGUGAGUUCGGGACACUUAGUGGGUCCCGACGGCGUCCCGGUGUGGUUUUCGGGACUUCCGGCGAGUUACGGUAAUCGGUAUUGGGAAACCGAUCUUUGUGGAAUCGUUUGUGGGGUUGUGGAUACUGUGAUUAUUAGUUGUGGGUUAGAUACUAACCCGGUGGACCCUCUAUAGGUCCUGUCGACAUUCUUUUGCAGUCAGGAGACAGACGCGACAUCCUUACAGGUGGGUACUUCGAUCCGACGUCGGUACAGUGGUGCACGCUUGGUGAUGGUUUCUUACCCUUACUCUUCUGUUGUUACUAUCGCAUAGUAUAUUGAGCCUUGCACCCUUGUUUAUUCGUUAUACUCUACUCGUUGUUUGCAUGCUUAGUAUCCUGAGUAGGAGUAGAGUAGUUCUAUCUACAUGCGUAUCUGUUGACCUAGUUGGUUGGUUGUUGCAUUCCGUAUCUGUUGACCUGGUUGGUCGGUUCUCGUACUUCGUUUCGGUGACCUGAUUGGUCGGUUCUCGUACAUCGUUCGAUGACCCUUGAGGUCGGUAUACCCUAAGGGGUGGGAUUGUCGGUUAGCACCGACGGAUGAUUAUAGUUUACACAGUUCCACCGACGGAUGAUGACCUAUGAGGUCGGUGUACCCUGAGGGGUUGGAUUGUCGGCUAGUGGCCGACGGUAAUUCGGGAUUCUAUUGAUAUACUCUGGUGACCUAUUCGUCAGUUCGUCGUGCAUAUGUGUUAGUUGACUUUAGUAGUCAGUACUUGUAUACCUUGGUAGGAUGUUGAGUUGUUCCCUCUUAGUUGACCUGAGUAGUCGUUUCUUGUGCUUCUAUAUAGUUUGAUGACCUAUUGGUCGGUUUGCCCCGAGGGGCGGUGCUUGUCGGCUAGUUACCGACAUUUUGCUAUUGAUCAUAUCCGCAUUGAUCACCACAGCUCGAGUGCAUUUCACGUACACCAGCGGGUUGAUCCCCCGCAGGAGGGUGUUCUUUUCCGAAAAAGUGGUCAUACAUCCGACCCGUGAGCCCAGCGGUGUUCUCUUUGUGCUAGGGUUACAUGCCAAGUGCGAGCAGGUAGUGGCUUUUGCCUGAGGUCCUUAGACCGACACGGCGGUUUAGAUUGGGUACUUUUGGACUACUUGUCCGGUUGACGCAUAUAACUAUAGUAGCAGUGGUCACUUGUAUAUCUUCAGUUCUUUCGUUACAUUGUCUUGCUACUAUAGUCUUGUUACAUGUAUACAUUCAGUUGUUCAUUACAGUAUCGAUAGUUGUACUUUCUUUCAUAUAUAUGUCACUUUCAUUCAUUAUUAUUGCUACUGUAUUUUCUACUGACCCGUACUGUUGUUUAGCUCUUACUGAUCCGGUAAGUACUCCUCGCCUUCAUCGGCUUGCGGUACCCACUGGGAGGGGAGACAUGUUUACAUGUUCUCACCUCCCCCACCAUUUUUCAGGUAUUGCAGGCGAUGAGUUUUGGGACGAGACGUGAGGUACGUUCGUAGCGGUCGAUAGAGCUUCCAACCCAAGUUAUCGAUUUAGUUUUUAUCCUUACUAUUCUAUUGUUAUAGCCUAGUUAGUUUAUAUGGUUCAGUUAGAUGAUCAUACUUGAUGUUUGAACGUUGUGAGCUGGUUGAAUUUGUGGAUUUGUGGAAUUGUGGAUUUGGUUUAUGGAUCUUCAGUUUUGGGAUGUUUGUAUACUUUGUGGUUCUCGGAUUUGUAUUUAUGGAUUUACGCAUCGUGGUUUUCUACCCCUCGAGGUAGUCGGUUUUCAAAAUAGAGUUUCCGUGUGGGAAACAGUUUUCAAAAGGUUUUCAAAUGGUUUUUCAUGAUGAAUGAAUUAGAGUUCAAAAAUAAAAGCUUCUGUGUGGGGAGCACUUUUAAAUAGGAUGGUUAUUGUAUUGUGCAUUGCAUCAUCCAGCGCCUAAGGAGUGCUUAGAGGCAUGCAUCAUUCUAAGGAUUGUUAGCUGU
rnacentral:lncRNA from 1 species